AGGACUGGCGAGCUUUGAGCCUCGGGCGCAGCAACUCCAAUUGUGAGGCUUCCCCCCAGCUCCCUCUGCCUGUCUCAGGCCCGCUUUCCGCGGCCGAUCCCGGAAGUGCCUAAUCCCGACAGCCCCCGCGCACCGCUCCAGGUUGCCAUGGAAACGAAGGCAGCCGAUCGAGGCGAAGAUUCACGCGGAGAAGACUCGCUGCAUCCCAGGGCGCGGGUGGACUGCGGAGUGCUCCCGGGCGGCGACAGAGAUGCUGAAGGCCAAGAUCCUCUUCGUGGGGCCCUGCGAGAGUGGAAAAACCGUCCUGGCCAACUUUCUGACUGAAUCUUCUGACAUCACUGAAUACAACCCAACCCAAGGAGUGAGGAUCCUGGAAUUUGAGAACCCAAACGUCGCCAGCAACAAGGGCACAGGGUGUGAGUUUGAGCUCUGGGACUGUGGCGGCGAUGCUAAGUUUGAGUCCUGCUGGCCGGCCCUGAUGAAGGACGCCCAUGGAGUGGUGAUCGUCUUCAAUGCUGACAUCCCAAGCCACCUGAAGGAAAUCGAAAUGUGGUACUCCUGCUUUGUGCAGCAGCAGUUCUUACAGGAUUCUCAGUGCCUGCUGAUCGCACAUCACAAACCAGGCUCUGGAGGUGACGCCGGGAGCCUGUCUUUGUGUCAAGAAAGCCUCCAGAUCUUACAUGACACACAUGACCAAGCUGACAAAGCAAUCCUGGAAAACAACGCAGAAUAUAUUCAGAAACAAAUGCCACCGUUGAACAAGCUGAAGCUGGUGCACUCCAACCUUGAGGAUGAGCCUGAAGAGAUCAGGAUGGAAUUCAUGAAAUAUCUGAAAAACAUCAUCAGUUCCAUGUCUGAGAGCAGAGACAGGGAGGAGAUGUCGAUCAUCACCUAACAGUCUUCCCCCGGGGACGUCCACCUUCCGAUGCAGUCAGCUGCUUCCAAGCCCAGAACUGAGAUCGUACCCAGUUACUCACGUUUGCUUCUCCCUGUGGCAGUGGAAGAAAUUGUCCUCUUCUCCUGGAAGGUAGCAGUUGACCAGGAAUUGACUCGUACUAUCUUCUGUCCUUAUUCAGAUUGAGAAUGACCUGCCAAAGCCUGCUGUGUUCAAAGAUGAGGCUUUUGAAGGUGGAUCAUGCGGUGCUAUAGCUGACUUCCUGCUAGGAGAUGGAGCGUGGUUGGAGGUGGACCACCAGGGGCAUGGCCUGGAAGGGUACAUCCACCCAGACCUUUCCACUAUGCCAUUUCUGCCUUGGAGCCUGAUAACUAUGGCCUGAAAACAUAAGCCAAAAUAAACCUCUCCUUCUUUA